GCGCGAAACUUUACAAUGCUGGCAACAGCGAUAAGGGAACCUCGAGUGCCAGGUUACAAAUCUGGCUGUCGAGAUGCCUAAAAAGCAUUUCAUAGCAAGGGCAGGGCAAGACCGGUGCCAGCCGCCGCGGUAACACCGGCGGCUCGAGUGGUAACCGUUAUUAUUGGGUCUAAAGGGUCUGUAGCCGGCCGGAUAAGUCUCUUGAGAAAUCUGGCAGCUUAACUGUCAGGCUUUCAGGAGAUACUGUCUGGCUCGAGGCCGGGAGAGGUGAGAGGUACUUCGAGGGGUAGGGUGAAAUCUUGUAAUCCUUGAAGGACCACCAGUGGCGAAGGCGUCUCACCAGAACGGACCUGACGGCAAGGGACGAAAGCUAGGGGCACGAACCGGAUUAGAUACCCCA
rnacentral:rRNA from 1 species